AAUCUAAAAAGCGCGGAACUUUCAUAUAUUUUCCGUCGGAGCAAUUAUUUUUCAACUCUGUAGAAAAAGCGGGCUCAAUUAAUCGCGCGGAACCUUAUUUAUCUACUCUGUACAAAUAGUAGUGUUUAAAAUCGCGCGGAGAUUGUAGAAUGCUAUUUUAAGAAGUCUAUUAAAGAGAGAAAAUCCAGUAAAUACCAGAUCCAAAAAGCGCGGAACACAAAUAUCGUCCGCGAAAAUUAAGCAUUGAAUUACUGUACAAAUCUCGGGUUGUUAGGUGUUAGAAUCCCUAGUUACCCGAAAAAUUUGAUUGGAUCCGAUACUUAGAAAUAACCAAUCAGAUACUUUGUAACAAAUGCAACACAAUCAGUGCGUUCAGUAAGUAUAACGUUUCAAGAUGGCGGAGCGAAUUGCAUGGUUAUUGUUUCUACUCGAUGGAUUCGCAGAUAAUUCGGAAAUAGAUCAGAUUGGGAUCAAUAACUGUAUUGCAUACGAUCAUUUACAUGUAUUACCAGGUGUGUGUUGCCAGUAAUGGUUGAAGAUAUGCCAAACAAAUUGUGCCUCUCUAUACAGACAGAUUUCAGGUCUCAAUUUCGACUUCAAAGGUCAACAUAUCACUGAUAUCAGGAAUUCUGUGAAACUGUGGCACCAUGUAUGGUACGUGAGCGCACAAUGUCUGUUGGAAAAGGAUAUUGGAAUAAGCAAAGGGACUCAACAUUACACAGUCAUUUCAACAUGUAGAGUCUUGUCAGCAAUGAUGGAGCAGUACAUCAGAUUUCCAGAAUCUCGUCAUGAGCUGAAGAUCAUUGCCUAUUGAUUUCAUGAAUAAUGUAGAAUGAUUGGACUGUUGAUGGAACCCACAGUGCAUGUCCUGCUUCAACAUCUGAGCAUAGGUCCUUGUUUAUCAGCAGUUUAGUUCUUCAAGCAGUCUGUGACAGUAACUUGAAAUGUUUGGACAUAUGCCCUGGAUGGCCAAGUUCUGUGCAUGAUGCCCAUUUAAAUAGGAACGGUCCGGUGGCGCAUUAAAUGGACAAUUUUUCGAAUGUUCUCGUGGAUUCAGCUUACCGCCUGACAAGAAAUCUUGCUUUUUGUUCCGUAUCGAGGCCAUGGACAUUUGUAUCAUUUGCAAAAGAUACUGCGAUAUUUGUGCCUUUGUUCAUGCUUUAUAGUUGAUUAACAAUUGGAAGCCAUAACCUGUUUUAUAGGAUAGUGUUAGUCGGACAAUGAAUUUUGUAAAGAUUU